UGUUCUCCAUAGGAGGUCUAUAUUGAGCAGAUUCUUUUUGGUAUUGGGUGGUGGAACCGGAGCGUGCUCCAUCCACUCCAUGCAUUGACCUGGUAUUGCAGUGCUUCCAGGACCGGUGC
rnacentral:snRNA from 1 species